GCCCAACUGAUAUGACGUGCUUGCACUGAAUUGACGUUGGAUUACCAGUGAGCGGCGGACGGGUGAGUAACACGUGGGCAACCUGCCCUGAAGUGGGGGAUAACAUCUGGAAACAGGUGCUAAUACCGCAUAACAACGAAAACCACAUGGUUUUCGUUUCAAAGAUGGUUUCGGCUAUCACUUCAGGAUGGGCCCGCGGUGCAUUAGCUAGUUGGUAAGGUAACGGCUUACCAAGGCAAUGAUGCAUAGCCGAGUUGAGAGACUGAUCGGCCACAAUGGAACUGAGACACGGUCCAUACUCCUACGGGAGGCAGCAGUAGGGAAUCUUCCACAAUGGGCGCAAGCCUGAUGGAGCAACACCGCGUGAGUGAAGAAGGGUUUCGGCUCGUAAAGCUCUGUUGUUGGAGAAGAACGUGCGUGAGAGUAACUGUUCACGCAGUGACGGUAUCCAACCAGAAAGUCACGGCUAACUACGUGCCAGCAGCCGCGGUAAUACGUAGGUGGCAAGCGUUAUCCGGAUUUAUUGGGCGUAAAGCGAGCGCAGGCGGUUGCUUAGGUCUGAUGUGAAAGCCUUCGGCUUAACCGAAGAAGGGCAUCGGAAACCGGGCGACUUGAGUGCAGAAGAGGACAGUGGAACUCCAUGUGUAGCGGUGGAAUGCGUAGAUAUAUGGAAGAACACCAGUGGCGAAGGCGGCUGUCUGGUCUGCAACUGACGCUGAGGCUCGAAAGCAUGGGUAGCGAACAGGAUUAGAUACCCUGGUAGUCCAUGCCGUAAACGAUGAGUGCUAGGUGUUGGAGGGUUUCCGCCCUUCAGUGCCGGAGCUAAC
rnacentral:rRNA from 1 species